rnacentral:ncRNA from 2 species
UACGGAGGGUGCAAGCGUUGUCCGGAUUUAUUGGGUUUAAAGGGUGCGUAGGCGGCUUAUUAAGUCAGUGGUGAAAGCCAACAGCUCAACUGUUGAACUGCCAUUGAUACUGAUAAGCUUGAGUACAGACGAGGUAGGCGGAAUUGAAGAUGUAGCGGUGAAAUGCAUAGAUAUCUUCAAGAACACCGAUUGCGUAGGCAGCUUACUAGGCUGUAACUGACGCUGAGGCACGAAAGCGUGGGGAGCGAACAGG